rnacentral:rRNA from 1 species
UACGGAGGGGGCUAGCGUUGUUCGGAAUUACUGGGCGUAAAGCGCACGUAGGCGGCUUUGUGAGUUAGAGGUGAAAGCCCAGGGCUCAACCCUGGAAUUGCCUUUAAGACUGCAUCGCUUGAACAUCGGAGAGGUAAGUGGAAUUCCGAGUGUAGAGGUGAAAUUCGUAGAUAUUCGGAAGAACACCAGUGGCGAAGGCGACUUACUGGACGAUUGUUGACGCUGAGGUGCGAAAGCGUGGGGAGCAAACAGG